UUCAUCUUUCAUAAAAAAAAUUCCAAGAUUUGGUUGCUUACGUUCACAUCAAUUGGACUCAUGUGGCUAGUUUUCUCAUUGGCAAUCAUACCAAAUCUCCUUAUUUCUAAAUUGUCAGGAGUAAGACUGAUUAAAUUAAAUAAAGGAUCUCUGGUGUAUACUGUGUUGUGCAAAUUACUUGUUUUUAACAUUCUGUCUCAUUUACAGAGUAAAUCAUUCAUUGUUUUUCCAUUAUUUUAAUGAGUUCUGCUUUUGAACUAAAAUAUGUUCAUUAGAUACUUCUUGCUCAUUUUAAUUAAAAUAAGAUCUCCACACUGGUUCACAUUUGUUGCUUGGUGGACAAAAGAUCUCAUUUUAAGUAGAUUGUGCUUUUAAAGUAGUAGUUUAUCUGAAAUAUGUUGGUGUGUGAUCCCUUAUGUCAAAUGCUGUUAAAUUUGGCAUAUUUAUGAAUAAUAGUAUUUGACAAUAUCAGCCAUUUCAAACACUGAAUUUUCAACAAAUCUGUAAAUAAAAAAAAUACUUUAAUUGGCUUUGAUACUUUGUCAAGUUCUGCAACUAACAUAUUAGAACAAAUGUACAUCUUCA
rnacentral:lncRNA from 1 species